AGCGGGAGCAGAGAACACUGAAGCCAGAGGCACUGACUUAAAAUGGAGCAUCUGAUCCUUAAAGAUCCCCUGGCCCAUGCCAGCCAUACUGCCCAGACUUGAAUUCUCUCCAGAGAAGUUUCUCAUCCAAGAUCCCCAGUAAAGAAAGGACUACUGAAGGAAAAAGGAAAGAAAAUAGAGCUUCUUUCAUCUUUAUUCUGGGGUUUUCUGCAAUUUUUUUAAAGAGAAAGGUAAGCUACAUAAAAAGGAGUUUGCUUGGUGAGCAAUGGUGGAGUGAGGCUCAUGAUUUGAGUAUUUCAAGAUGUCAACUAAGGGCACCUCAACCAAAUGCACCUCAUGCCCACUGACUCAACAGGUCGAGACCUUAAGGAAAUGCGGCAUUCCAUUGCAUAAUGCUUCAAUAUGAGUUAACAAGACAAAUGAGCAGAGAAACUAUGACUCUCCAUGCUGCAGAAGGAAAAUGCUCCUAGCGAACAUCUGCUUUGGUUCUUAUGGGAAAUUCUAUCCAGGUCAUCAUAACACAAUUGAAAACAACUGAUAAUGAAAAGAAUGCUAAUUGGUUUCCUCUCUCUCUUAUCACUGAUCCGUACACAGACCAAGGACAGAACCCAGAGGGCUAACAAAGAAGCACCAUGGAGUUGGUACACAGACCUCUGAGAACGGAUCCUAAAUGGCUAUCGCUGCUACCUGGCAUCUCACCAGAGAACUGGUUCUGGAAGCUCUCAAGGAAGGUUGAAGCUUUUAACUGCUACUGACCAAUACAGGAAAAACAGAAAUGUAUGGAGUCUCACUAUGUCACCCAGGCUGGAGUGCAGUGGCGUGAUCUCGGCUCACUGAAACCUCCACCGCCCAGGUUCAAGCAAUCCUCCUGUCUCAGCCUCCUGAGUAGCUGCAACUACAGGCACCUGCCACCAUGCCUGGCUAAUUUUUGUAUUUUUAGUAGAGACAGGGUUUCUCCAUGUUGGCCAGGCUGGUCUCAAACUCCUGACCUCAGGUGAUCCACCCACCUCGGCCUCCUAAAGUGCUGGGAUUUCAGGCGUGAGCCACUGCCUUCAGCUGGAAAUAGCAUUUACUUUAGAGUGUGAUUGUAAAGAUUAGUGUGAUAAUAUGUACAGAACAUCUUAUAUUCAUGGAGGGCACACAUUUGUUCAAUGAAUUGUACUGAUGAGAUCACAAAUCACAUUUCCUCACCCUUCAACCACUGCGCAUCCAAUAUCAUU
rnacentral:lncRNA from 1 species